GAUGAACGCUGGCGGCGUGCUUAACACAUGCAAGUCGAACGAAGAUUGUUAGAAUGAGAGCUUCGGCAGGAUUUCUUUCCAUCUUAGUGGCGGACGGGUGAGUAACGUGUGGGCAACCUGCCCUGUACUGGGGAAUAAUCAUUGGAAACGAUGACUAAUACCGCAUGUGGUCCUCGGAAGGCAUCUUCUGAGGAAGAAAGGAUUUAUUCGGUACAGGAUGGGCCCGCAUCUGAUUAGCUAGUUGGUGAGAUAACAGCCCACCAAGGCGACGAUCAGUAGCCGACCUGAGAGGGUGAUCGGCCACAUUGGGACUGAGACACGGCCCAA
rnacentral:rRNA from 1 species